rnacentral:rRNA from 1 species
UACGUAGGGAGCAAGCGUUUGUCCGGAAUCAUUGGGCGUAAAGCGCGCGUAGGUGGUCCCGUAAGUCCGCUGUGAAAGUCAAAGGCUCAACCUUUGAAAGCCGGUGGAUACUGUGAGGCUAGAGUACGGAAGAGGCGAGUGGAAUUCCUGGUGUAGCGGUGGAAUGCGCAGAUAUCAGGAGGAACACCAAUAGCGAAGGCAGCUCGCUGGGACGUUACUGACACUGAGGCGCGAAAGCGUGGGGAGCGAACAGG